CGUGCUUAACACAUGCAAGUCGAGCGAAGCACUUUUGCGGAUUUCUUCGGAUUGAAGCAACUGUGACUGAGCGGCGGACGGGUGAGUAACGCGUGGGUAACCUGCCUCAUACAGGGGGAUAACAGUUGGAAACGGCUGCUAAUACCGCAUAAGCGCACAGUACCGCAUGGUACGGUGUGAAAAACUCCGGUGGUAUGAGAUGGACCCGCGUCUGAUUAGGUAGUUGGUGGGGUAACGGCCUACCAAGCCGACGAUCAGUAGCCGACCUGAGAGGGUGACCGGCCACAUUGGGACUGAGACACGGCCCAAACUCCUACGGGAGGCAGCAGUGGGGAAUAUUGCACAAUGGGGGAAACCCUGAUGCAGCGACGCCGCGUGAGCGAUGAAGUAUUUCGGUAUGUAAAGCUCUAUCAGCAGGGAAGAAAAUGACGGUACCUGACUAAGAAGCCCCGGCUAACUACGUGCCAGCAGCCGCGGUAAUACGUAGGGGGCAAGCGUUAUCCGGAUUUACUGGGUGUAAAGGGAGCGUAGACGGCAUGGCAAGCCAGAUGCGAAAGCCCGGGGCUCAACCCCGGGACUGCAUUUGGAACUGUCAGGCUAGAGUGUCGGAGAGGAAAGCGGAAUUCCUAGUGUAGCGGUGAAAUGCGUAGAUAUUAGGAGGAACACCAGUGGCGAAGGCGGCUUUCUGGACGAUGACUGACGUUGAGGCUCGAAAGCGUGGGGAGCAAACAGG
rnacentral:rRNA from 1 species